rnacentral:rRNA from 1 species
AUUGAACGCUGGCGGCAUGCUUUACACAUGCAAGUCGAACGUGAGAGGAUAGCAAUAUUCUUGAAAGUGGCGCACGGGUGAGUAAUACGUAGGUAACCUGCCCUGGAGUGGGGGAUAACAACUAGAAAUGGUUGCUAAUACCGCAUGAAGCCAAGACACUGGGAAGUGACUUGGUAAAAACUCUGGUGCUUCAGGAGGGGCCUACGGCCGAUUAGCUAGUUGGCGGGGUAAGAGCCCACCAAGGCAGUGAUCGGUAGCUGGUCUGAGAGGACGAUCAGCCACACUGGAACUGAGACACGGUCCAGACUCCUACGGGAGGCAGCAGUAGGGAAUAUUGGACAAUGGGCGCAAGCCUGAUCCAGCCAUGCCGCGUGAGUGAAGAAGGCCCUCGGGUUGUAAAGCACUUUCAAUAGGAAGGAAUACCUAUCCAUUAAUACUGGGUAGACUGACAUUACCUAUACAAGAAGCACCGGCUAACUCCGUG